GAAAGAAAAAUCGAUUUCCUGAGUAGCGGCGAGCGAAACGGAAAGAGCCCAAACCAAGAAGCUUGCUUCUUGGGGUUGUAGGACACUCUAUACGGAGUUACAAAAGAAAGUUAUAAAUGAAGCGGUCUGGAAAGGCCCGCCAAAGACGGUAACAGCCCGGUAGUUGAAAUGGCUUUCCCUCCAGAGUGGAUCCUGAGUACGGCGGAACACGUGAAAUUCCGUCGGAAUCCGGGAGGACCAUCUCCCAAGGCUAAAUACUCCCUAGUGACCGAUAGUGAACCAGUACCGUGAGGGAAAGGUGAAAAGCACCCCGGAAGGGGAGUGAAACAGUUCCUGAAACCGUGUGCCUACAAGUAGUUAGAGCCCGUUAAUGGGUGAUAGCGUGCCUUUUGUAGAAUGAACCGGCGAGUUACGAUUUGUUGCAAGGUUAAGCGGAAAAAGCGGAGCCGUAGCGAAAGCGAGUCUGAAUAGGGCGCAUAAGUAACAGGUCGUAGACCCGAAACCAGGUGAUCUACCCAUGUCCAGGAUGAAGGUAAGGUAAUACUUACUGGAGGUCCGAACCCACGCACGUUGAAAAGUGCGGGGAUGAGGUGUGGGUAGCGGAGAAAUUCCAAUCGAACUUGGAGAUAGCUGGUUCUCUCCGAAAUAGCUUUAGGGCUAGCCUCGAGGUAAAGAGUCAUGGAGGUAGAGCACUGUUUGGACUAGGGGCCCUUCUCGGGUUACCGAAUUCAGAUAAACUCCGAAUGCCAUGUACUUAUACUCGGGAGUCAGACUGCGAGUGAUAAGAUCCGUAGUCGAAAGGGAAACAGCCCAGACCACCAGUUAAGGUCCCCAAAUAUAUGUUAAGUGGAAAAGGAUGUGGGGUUGCUUAGACAACCAGGAUGUUGGCUUAGAAGCAGCCACCAUUGAAAGAGUGCGUAAUAGCUCACUGGUCGAGUGACCCCGCGCCGAAAAUGUACCGGGGCUAAACAUAUUACCGAAACUGUGGAUGAACCUCUUUAGAGGUUCGUGGUAGGAGAGCGUUCUAAGGGCGGUGAAGUCAGACCGGAAGGACUGGUGGAGCGCUUAGAAGUGAGAAUGCCGGUAUGAGUAGCGAAAGAAGGGUGAGAAUCCCUUCCACCGAAUAUCUAAGGUUUCCUGAGGAAGGCUCGUCCGCUCAGGGUUAGUCGGGACCUAAGCCGAGGCCGAUAGGCGUAGGCGAUGGACAACA
rnacentral:rRNA from 1 species